CUAUCCGUCGCGGGCGCAGGAAAUUUGAGAGGAGCUGUCCUUAGUACGAGAGGACCGGGAUGGACGUUCCGCUGGUGUACCAGUUGUGCCGCCAGGCGCAUCGCUGGGUAGCUAUGAACGGCAGGGAUAAACGCUGAAAGCAUCUAAGUGUGAAGCCCCCCUCGAGAUGAGAUUUCCCAUUCCUAUAUGGAAGUAAGACCCCUGAGAGAUGAUCAGGUAGAUAGGCUGGAAGUGGAAGUGCAGCGAUGCAUGGAGCGGACCAGUACUAAUCGGUCGAGGACUUAACCAAG
rnacentral:rRNA from 1 species